rnacentral:rRNA from 1 species
GCUGGCGGCAUGCCUAACACAUGCAAGUCGAACGGUAACGCGGAGUAGUCUUGCUCUCUGGCGACGAGUGGCGGACGGGUGAGUAAUACUUAGGAAUCUGCCCAGUAGUGGGGGACAACUCGGGGAAACUCGAGCUAAUACCGCAUACGCCCUACGGGGGAAAGCGGGGGAUCUUCGGACCUCGCGCUAUUGGAUGAGCCUAAGUCGGAUUAGCUUGUAGGUAGGGUAACGGCCUACCUAGGCGACGAUCCGUAGCUGGUCUGAGAGGACGAUCAGCCACACUGAGACUGAGACACAGCCCAGACUCCUACGGGAGGCAGCAGUGGGGAAUAUUGGACAAUGGGCGCAAGCCUGAUCCAGCAAUGCCGCGUGUGUGAAGAAGGCCUGCGGGUUGUAAAGCACUUUCAGUAGAGAAGAAAAGCUUACGGUUAAUAACUGUGAGUCUUGACGUAACCUACAGAAGAAGCACCGGCUAACUCCGUGCCAGCAGCCGCGGUAAUACGGAGGGUGCUAGCGUUAAUCGGAAUUACUGGGCGUAAAGCGCGCGUA